UAGAAUGAAUCAAUCUAAUCACUGCAGGUCUUGUAUGCUUAUGUUCAUCAUAUAGAUAUGUCAGUCUUAAAUAUGGACUGUUUUAUAACCAGUUAAAAGUUAAUUAUAGUAGGUUUAAAGAUUGAACUCAGUCAGGACCUUCACGUGCUGUAAAGUGUCAAUCAGUGUGACCUUAUCAGCUACUUGUUACCUGAUGGAAAUGAUGGCAUUUAGUGAAUAACAGCAGCACAGCAGUGACAAACACACUAUUUGUCAGAGUUGUGAGAGGAAGGAGGGAGGGAUUAAGGGAGGAGCAAAACUGAGACUCAAGUACAGAAAAGACAGAAACUUUCACAGUGGUGUUUCAUCCAAAAAACAGACAGAUUGUCUUUAUCUUUAAGAUGCUGUCAGUGAACUUCAGUCUGUUUGUGACUUUGUUUCUGCUCACAAUAAGAGGUGUCAGCUGUGAAGAACUCACUGCAGUCAAGAAACAAGAGUCUCAGUUUAGAAGACAGCACUGUUACUCUGUCCUACAAAUACUACAAACAAGCUGAUGUAACUGAAUAUUUCUUCUGGUAUCGACAAUAUCCAGGAAAACCACCACAGUUCCUCAUCUCUCACUCAGGAACAGGAAAGUUAAUGUCUAACCCAGUCUCUAGACUGUCAGUUACAGUGAGUGAGGAUAAAACCCAAAUGGAUCUGCAGAUCUCCUCUGCUGCAGUGACAGACUCUGCUCUGUACUACUGUGCUGUGAGGCCCACAGUGACAGCAAACCCACAGUCUCUGUACAAAAACACAAGCUGACACACUGACAAGCUGCUGGAAGCCUUUUUUCCACACUGUUGGACUCAACUUUUUAGCUCCACUAGAGGGCGACAUUAUCAAGUAGGCGGUGCACUACUUCUGCACUGUGUUCAACCAUUCUGUCAAUAAUAACUGCUGCUGUGAAGAGAACAAUUGUCACACUGAAUGUUGAACAUCAGCUAGUUUCUCCUGUUGAUUUAAACCUUGUUGUAGAGAUGGAACAUUGGCUGUGGAUUAUUCUUGCUGCUCUUUUCUUUGGACUAAUAGCUGGAGACACAAUCUCUCCUGUAGGAGAUAAAGUCAGUGGAAGAGAAGGAGAAUCUGUCACACUCAGAUGUCGAUAUGAGACAACUGACAG